AAUAACAACACGAAGAUUAAAACGUUUCAGUGUUAAAUUAUGCCUCGACCAACCCGUGAAUCGUAUGGAGACCAGAAACCACCGUUUUCAUACAUCGCACUCACAGCCAUGGCCAUCUGGAGCUCACCAGAGCGCAUGCUGCCACUCUCAGAGAUAUACCGGUUUAUCACAGAUCGAUUUCCAUAUUAUAGGAGAAAUACUCAGCGUUGGCAGAAUUCCCUGAGACACAACCUCUCAUUCAACGAUUGCUUUGUGAAGGUGCCGCGCCGGCCCGACCGACCCGGAAAAGGUGCUUAUUGGACUCUCCACCCUCAAGCAUUUGACAUGUUUGAAAAUGGGUCACUUCUCCGCAGACGUAAGAGGUUUAAGUUGCACAAAGGUGAAAAGGACAGUUUGAAUGCUGAGUUGGCAGCUCUAGCCACUUUCAACCGAGCAUUUCUAGCAAGACAGGCGAGCUCAACGCCUUCAUCGGGGAUGACUAGUAUGUACGCAUCACAAGUGGCGUUGUGUUCAAGACCUAGCCCGGAUCCAAUAGAUGGUCCAGACACGGCGGCGUUAUUGCCGGCGGGACCACGGCCGCGUCGGGCAUUCACAAUAGAUGCACUUCUGGAGCCUGAGCCCCGGCAGACCUCGCCAUCACCACCUUCUCCUCAGCAGCCCCAGCCACAUUAUCCUAUGCCACUACCAUCACCGUAUCUGCUAGCCGCUCAAAGAUACCACGCAGAACUCUUGGCUGGUCUUCAGCAAUCCUGUCUGCCACCUCUCUGGACAUGGCGAGAUAGCCAGUUCUCACAUUAUACGCUUAAUUCAUGAAUGGUAUCAAUUCGCCUAGUUUCAAGAUCUCAAUAGUUCUAGUGUUAGGAAAAUGUAGAGGCACCUUACGCCAUGUGUUAUAUAGUUUUGAAGAGGGGAAUACAGUGACUAUUUUAACAAAAUGUGAACAUUGAUUGUAUGAGGUUUUUUAAUUUAAAUUAAAUUAUCUAUGAAUGAUCGAAAAUUGCAAGAAUUUUCAAGAUUAAAUUGGAAAAGUUAUGCCAGCAGAAACAAUGGAAAGCCCCAACUCUCAAAUAAUUACUUUUUUGUUAUACUUCGUAGAUUUUGAAUCUGUGAUAUUUUUGUUAGUUAAUA